AUGAAAUAAAGGCCUUGAGAGCAGAGAAUCAGCAACUAAAGGCCCUGAACUUUAAACUGCAAAAUGAGAUUAUUAACAGAUUUGCGGAGUUGCUGCCAAACAGAAGUGCAAACAAGCAUGCUGUGCAAACCUCCCUAACAAGUGCAGCUUGCAGCGCUGCCCUUCAACCAGCCAACUCUUCACAUCUUAGCUCUUCUGGACUGGACCAUGUUGAAAUCCACAAAAAACUAAACAUGGCAAAGGAUACAUUCCAAGCAUGUGGUAGAGGGGGCACAUCAUGGUCAGCCAUGAUUAAGGAUUUAGCCGUGGCUGUUUUUGGAAGGAGCAUGUUAGCUACCCACAGCCUUUCUGGAAAAAUUGGAAAUGCCAACAAGGAAUCACAAGCCAAGCCCCCUCUGGACCCCACAAAAGUGGAACUUAUUAUAGACACUGUUUCGAAGAAAUUUCCAGAAACUCCACGAAAGUUUC